GGGGAUCGCAAGACCUCGCGCGAUUGGAGCGGCCGAUAUCAGAUUAGGUAGUUGGUGAGGUAAAGGCUCACCAAGCCGACGAUCUGUAGCUGGUCUGAGAGGACGACCAGCCACACUGGGACUGAGACACGGCCCAGACUCCUACGGGAGGCAGCAGUGGGGAAUUUUGGACAAUGGGCGCAAGCCUGAUCCAGCCAUGCCGCGUGCGGGAAGAAGGCCUUCGGGUUGUAAACCGCUUUUGUCAGGGAAGAAAAGGUUCUGGCUAAUACCUGGGACUCAUGACGGUACCUAAAGAAUAAGCACCGGCUAACUACGUGCCAGCAGCCGCGGUAAUACGUAGGGUGCAAGCGUUAAUCGGAAUUACUGGGCGUAAAGCGUGCGCAGGCGGUUAUGCAAGACAGAGGUGAAAUCCCCGGGCUCAACCUGGGAACUGCCUUUGUGACUGCAUGGCUAGAGUACGGUAGAGGGGGAUGGAAUUCCGCGUGUAGCAGUGAAAUGCGUAGAUAUGCGGAGGAACACCGAUGGCGAAGGCAAUCC
rnacentral:rRNA from 1 species